rnacentral:SRP_RNA from 1 species
UCAGCCAAGACACACUCUACAUCUUGGUCCCAGAGGUGUCAGCGCUAUUGCGAGGGCCUUCCUAUUUGUGCGGUAUUGGCACCAACAAUUUGGCAUCUCGCCGCGGUGUGGGCCAUACCAUUUUUCUGGAGUGUCAGCGACUGCAACCCAC